rnacentral:rRNA from 1 species
GAUGAACGCUAGCUACAGGCUUAACACAUGCAAGUCGAGGGGCAGCAUGGUCUUAGCUUGCUAAGGCCGAUGGCGACCGGCGCACGGGUGAGUAACACGUAUCCAACCUGCCGUCUACUCUUGGACAGCCUUCUGAAAGGAAGAUUAAUACAAGAUGGCAUCAUGAGUCCGCAUGUUCACAUGAUUAAAGGUAUUCCGGUAGACGAUGGGGAUGCGUUCCAUUAGAUAGUAGGCGGGGUAACGGCCCACCUAGUCUUCGAUGGAUAGGGGUUCUGAGAGGAAGGUCCCCCACAUUGGAACUGAGACACGGUCCAAACUCCUACGGGAGGCAGCAGUGAGGAAUAUUGGUUAAUGGGCGAGAGCCUGAACCAGCCAAGUAGCGUGAAGGAUGACUGCCCUAUGGGUUGUAAACUUCUUUUAUAAAGGAAUAAAGUCGGGUAUGGAUACCCGUUUGCAUGUACUUUAUGAAUAAGGAUCGGCUAACUCCGUG